GUACACGCUGUGACUAGCAUAUCAAUAAGCGGAGGAAAAGAAACUAACAAGGAUUCCCCUAGUAACGGCGAGUGAAGCGGGAAGAGCUCAAAUUUGAAAUCUUAAAGGGUUUCCCUUUACGAAUUGUAGUUUAAAGAAGUGUUUUCUGUUGAGGUUUUGGUAAAAGUUCUUUGGAAUAGGACAUCAUAGAGGGUGAGAAUCCCGUAUUUGACCUUUACUUUCAACUUUGUGAUACACUUUCAAAGAGUCGGAUUGUUUGGGAAUGCAGUCCAAAAUGGGUGGUAAAUUUCAUCUAAAGCUAAAUAUUGGCGAGAGACAGAUAGCGAACAAGUACCGUGAGGGAAAGAUGAAAAGAACUUUGAAAAGAGAGUUAAACAGUACGUGAAAUUGUCAAAAGGGAAGCGUUUGACACCAGUGUUGUUUUUCUGAAAAUCAAUUAAAGAACUGUUUAUGCUAAGUUGUUUAGACUUUAUCAGCUAACUGUUUAGUUUUGAGCUUUUCUUUAAUGCACUUUUCAGUUAACAAGUCAACAUCAAUUUCUUUUGCUGUAAAAAAGCUUGAGGAAGGUGGCUUGAGAUUCGUCUUAAGUGUUUAUAGCCUCUUGCCUAUGCAGUCGGAGAGAUUGAGGUCUGCCAGCGUAGAUCCUUCGGGGCUAAAUGCAUUUGUGCUAAGUUAUAGCAUUUUAAUAGACAACUUGUUGACUAUGAUUUGUCUUGUAGCUUACUCGCUUAUGUUAUUUUACCUACGCUUAGGAUGUUGACGCGCGUGUGUGCUG
rnacentral:rRNA from 1 species